ensembl:lncRNA
CAGUCGGCGGCCCAUGCACCACGGCUGGAGAAGAGCCUGUGCGGCAGCCGAGACCCGCACAGCCAAAAUAGAUAAGUCUAUUCUAGGAAUUAGAGAUAAAACCAUGAAGAAAACAAAGUCUCAACUCUUAAGAUAGUAUGGUUGGGAAAGAGACCAGCGAAAGACAAUGAACAAAGAUAUAGAUAAACGUGAGGACAUCUCUCUACCACUAUGACUUGCCCUCCUUACCAUGCUUUGUGGUGUGAAAUGAAACUUGGUUCGCCUUUGGCCAGCUUUACACAGGUCAUAUCCAGCUCUACCACCCCAUGGAUGGUAACCCGCAGACUCCUCUGUCCUGAGGAUAUAGUGAAGAGCAAACAAACAGGGGACCUGUUUUCAACUGAGCCUAAAUUCUUGCAACAGAAACCAAAGAUAAAGUUUGAAAGUAGAGACUUGUGCAUAGAAAACUGUUAGCUAUUCAGAAAAGUCAAAAGAAUAGUAUGGUGACCACUUACAUACCACCUACCUAGAUUCAGAUUAAUCUAAAGCAUUAUUUUUGUCCUGUCCUCCCCUUAGGCACUAAAGUCCAAUGACUCUUCUAGUAUUUCGGUACAGUUCAGUCUUCCUCAAAGUUUGCUUUAGGAGCUGACCAUCACUUGAGCACUACCAUGUGGCAGGCCAGGCCUAAUUUUGACAACCGUAAGCCCGCCAAGCUCUCAAGUCCUUGGAAUUCUCUAGGCAAUACUGGAGUCAAUUGCUGUGACUUCCUCCAGGGGAUCUGCCUGACUCAGGGAUCAAACCUGCAACUCUUAUGUCUCCUGCUUUGGCAGGCGGGUUCUUUACCACUAGCGCAAACUGGGA